rnacentral:rRNA from 1 species
AACGAACGCUGGCGGCAGGCUUAACACAUGCAAGUCGAGCGCCCCGCAAGGGGAGCGGCAGACGGGUGAGUAACGCGUGGGAACGUACCCUUUGCUACGGAAUAGCUCCGGGAAACUGGAAUUAAUACCGUAUGUGCCCUACGGGGGAAAGAUUUAUCGGCAAAGGAGCGGCCCGCGUUGGAUUAGCUAGUUGGCGGGGUAAUGGCCUACCAAGGCGACGAUCCAUAGCUGGUCUGAGAGGAUGAUCAGACACAUUGGGACUGAGACACGGCCCAAACUCCUACGGGAGGCAGCAGUGGGGAAUAUUGGACAAUGGGCGCAAGCCUGAUCCAGCCAUGCCGCGUGAGUGAUGAAGGCCUUAGGGUUGUAAAGCUCUUUCACCGGAGAAGAUAAUGACGGUAUCCGGAGAAGAAGCCCCGGCUAACUUCGUGCCAGCCGCCGCAGUAACAC